GAUGAACGCUGGCGGCGUGCCUAAUACAUGCAAGUCGAGCGAACGGACGAGAAGCUUGCUUUUCUGAUGUUAGCGGCGGACGGGUGAGUAACACGUGGAUAACCUACCUAUAAGACUGGGAUAACUUCGGGAAACCGGAGCUAAUACCGGAUAAAAUUUUGAACCGCAUGGUUCAAAAGUGAAAGACGGUCUUGCUGUCACUUAAAGAUGGAUCCGCGCUGCAUUAGCUAGUUGGUAAGGUAACGGCUUACCAAGGCAACGAUGCAUAGCCGACCUGAGAGGGUGAUCGGCCACACUGGAACUGAGACACGGUCCAGACUCCUACGGGAGGCAGCAGUAGGGAAUCUUCCGCAAUGGGCGAAAGCCUGACGGAGCAACGCCGCGUGAGUGAUGAAGGUCUUCGGAUCGUAAAACUCUGUUAUUAGGGAAGAACAUAUGUGUAAGUAACUGUGCACAUCUUGACGGUACCUAAUCAGAAAGCCACGGCUAACUACGUG
rnacentral:rRNA from 1 species